CCUGCCUAUAGCGAGAUUAGACUUUCGUAAAGUCCUUCGUCUUUACAACCAACCAAUGGAAUUUUCGAAGAAAAUUCUCGCGCUCGCCCGGUUUGCUCGGUCGCUCGGAAGUCUAUAGCGAGGUUGCAAAGUGAAAGUGGGCAAAUACAACAGAUUAACAGAGCAACAGUAAGUCAAUUCGCCAUGGCAGUUGAACUACAUGUACUUGCUACUGAGUACUGUACAGGG